rnacentral:ncRNA from 1 species
UGAUCUGAAAUCAGGCGGGAUUACCCGCUGAACUUAAGCAUAUCAAUAAGCGGAGGAAAAGAAAAUAACAAUGAUUCCCCUAGUAACGGCGAGUGAACAGGGAAAAGCUCAAAGUUGGAACCUCCUGGCCCUAGGUCUGGCGGAUUGUAAACUAAAGCUCUCGAGUAGUUCGGCUAGCCUGGUAAAAAAGUUCUCUGGAAAGGGACGACAUAGAGGGUGAAAUCCCCGUCUUUGGCCAGAGCAUAGUCCAACGUUUGCUUGGAAGUGAAGAGUCAGGUUGUUUGGUAUUGCAGCCUAAAGCUGGAGGUAAAUCUCUCCUAAAGCUAAAUAUUGACGAAAGACCGAUAGCGAACAAGUACCGUGAGGGAAAGAUGAAAAGCACUUUGAAAAGAGGGUCAAAAAGUACGUGAAAUUGCUGAAAGGGAACCGUAUGAAAUCAGCUUGUCUCUUUGGUAAUCAACCUGGACCUCGGUCUGGGUGCACUUGCCAGUGAGUACAGCCUGCGACAAUUCGGCGCGAAGGAAAAAAUUAGAGGGAAUGUGGCCUCAGCUUCGGUUGAGGUGUUAUAGCCCUUUGAAAAAUACUUUGCUCUGGAUUGAGGACUGCAGCGAGCCAUUUGGGAUAGACUGUGGGCGCUUUGUUUGGACUGGGAGGAAAUUUCUAUCUCUGGUAGUGUUCUUUCAGUUUGAGCAAACUCGCCUACUUUUCUUUUUUCUCGCUUAGGUCGUAGGCAUAAUGAUUUUAUAUGACCCGUCUUGAAACACGGACCAAGGAGUCCACCAUCAUUGCGAGUCUUUGGGUGUAGAAACCCAUGGGCGGAAGGAAACUGACCAAGAUAUGAAACCUUUACCGGUGGCAAUAUCCUCCAGCAAGGACGUUUUAUACUGAACUGACUGAGAGAAAGCAAUGAUGAUGGGACCCGAAAGAUGGUGAACUAUACUUGAAUAGGGUGAAGCCAGAGGAAACUCUGGUGGAAGCUCGUAGCGAUUCUGACGUGCAAAUCGAUCGUCAAAUUUGAGUAUAGGGGCGAAAGACUAAUCGAACCAUCUAGUAGCUGGUUCCUGCCGAAGUUUCCCUCAGGAUAGCAGAAACUCACAAAGCAGUUUUAUGGGGUAAAGCGAAUGAUUAGAGGCCUUGGGGGCGAAAUGCCCUUAACCUAUUCUCAAACUUUAAAUAUGUAAGACGCCUUUCUUUCUUAAUUGAAGUUGGGCCUUUGAAUGCAGAGUUUCUAGUGGGCCAUUUUUGGUAAGCAGAACUGGCGAUGCGGGAUGAACCGAACGUAGAGUUAAGGUGCCCAAAUUUACGCUCAUCAGACACCACAAAAGGUGUUAGUUCAUCUAGACAGCAGGACGGUGGCCAUGGAAGUCGGAAACCGCUAAGGAGUGUGUAACAACUCACCUGCCGAAUGAACUAGCCCUGAAAAUGGAUGGCGCUUAAGCGUAAUACCUAUACUCUACCGUCAAUGUAAAAGCGAAGCAUUGACGAGUAGGCAGGCGUGGAGGUUUUGUAUAGAAGCCGUGGGCGUGAGCUCUGGUGAAACAGCCUCUAGUGCAGAUCUUGGUGGUAGUAGCAAAUAUUCAAAUGAGAUCUUUGAAGACUGAAGUGGAGAAAGGUUCCUGGAGAACAGUAGUUGGUCCAGGGUAAGUCGCUCCUAAGAGAUAGGGAAGUUCUGUUUUAAAUGAUUCUUUAUUGAAUCAGUCUAUCGAAAGGGAAGCUGGUUAAUAUUCCAGCACUGGGAUGAGGAAUUUAGGCGGUAACGGCCAAAAGAACUUGGGGACAUUGGUAUGAAGCCCGGAAAGAGUUAUCUUUUCUUUUUAACAGUCUUAAUGGCCCCUGAAAACGGUUUAGCCGGAGCAAGGGGACAUUGGCUGGUAAAGCAGAUCUUUUU